AGAGACACAGAAAGUAUUUGGAUUCCGGACAAGUACUCAACCAGUGAUUGAAAGUGGAGAGAAGGACAAGUUGUUCUGUCAAAGGCUAGGUUGUCACAAUGCAACCGUGUCUGACUGUGGGAAAAGCUGCGACUGGCUCCCAUGGAGAAAUUUUCUACAGUGUUCCCCCCCAUUCCCAGAGGAAUUGUUUACAGCAAAAAUCUGCAGUCUCUGCUCAACUGUGCUACCCAGCAAAAAGGGAGCACCUGGCUAAUGCUUUGCAGCAGAAGAUACGAGUUCCAUAUAAAUCCCGGUGCUGCUAGCUCUCUAUUCAGCCUGCACAGCUCAGUGAGGGUGUAUCUGGUGUUGUUUUUUGAAACAAUGCAUGUGGAAGUAUUGUAUUAGGAAGCUC